UAACUAGAUCAUAACCCGUGCUGU
rnacentral:siRNA from 1 species